AUGCUUUGCUGGGCUGACACGGUCCCUUCCUGCUUGACCCUGGCCCAGUCACUUCCCUGCUCUGCGUGCCUCAAUUUCUUCUGUAAAGUGGAGAAAAUGACAGCCCGAGGGAUGCUGCAAGACUCCAAAAGCCAGGAUGUUAGUAAAGUGUUCCUUCCUUCCUUCCUUCCCUUCCUUUUUUUCUCCUUUCCCUCCCUCCCUUCUCUCUCUCCCUCCUUCCUUCCUUUCUCCCUCCCUCUCUUCCUUUUUUCCUUCUUUCCCUCCCUCCUUCCUUCCUUCUCUCUCUCCCUCCUUCCUUUCUCCCUCUUCUUCUCUGGCCUCUUCCCUGAUGCCCAUUGACUGGCCCGAGUCUUUUUAGACCUUCAUUUGUCCUUGCCUUCCCCUCAGCUAUUGUCUUAUAUCUCUCUUCCCCAAAGGAUCAUCUCUGCUCCCUGUACCUUCUAUGUCUUUUGCUGUCCUUCCUACUCACUUCUCAACCCCUGUGGUCUGUAUCCUGACUUCCAUGACUCAAGAAAAUCUCCCCUCCCCAAAGUUAUCAGUGAUUUCUUUUUCCCCCAACCCUCACCUUCCGUCUUGGAAUCAGUACUAUGUAUUGGUUUCAAGGCAGAAGAGUCCUAAGGGCUAGGCAGUGGUGGUUAAAUGACUUGCCCAGGGUCACACAGCUAGGACGCAUCCUGCUGUAUGCCAGAUGCCAUGCUCGGUGCUUUUCAGAUAGAUUUGUAACCUCAGACUUAGCCUUGUCCCCUGCUCUUCCUCAGCCCUCUUCUCCAUCCAGUUAUCAUCUUGGUGUUUCUCCCUCCACAGCAUCUCUUGGGCAGUUCACAGGAGCCUCCCUGGCUUUAGGGUUCAGUUCCCUCCCACCUUGGGGGCAAAUAGGCUGACUCAGGCAUACCCAAAUUGCCCAAGGUCACACUGGUACCCAGAUGGGAGUGCACUUGGGCCUGGGGCCGUCUCCGGAUACAGGGAGAAUCUGACAUUUAGAGCAGGAAGAGACCUCUGAUGAGGCCCUGGAAGGUCAGACCUCUUGUUGAAGAUGACCCAGGUCUGAGAUUGAACGCUUUGUCCUCCCCUUCCCAAGGCAGGCCUCUUUCUUGGCCCUCAGGUUUGGUGUCCUUAGAGGAGUAACUCAAAACCUCCGUUCUCUAGCACAAAUGAUAGGCUGUUGGGCAAUCCCAUUGACAUGUAAAGAUCCUGAGACUGGAGCUGCCAUUUUGAUCCCUACAGAUGCUGAAAUGGGUCCAGUGGCCUCGUUGAUUUUCUCUGUAGGGCCAGUGAAGACGAGCAGAGUCAUUCCAGAGUGGGUCGGGGAAUGCCACAUUUCACGGGGCCGGGACUUGUCUAGACCCUGGAGAAAUAAAUACUCAUCUCGUAGCA
rnacentral:lncRNA from 1 species